AGCGAACGUUAGCGGCGGGCCUAACACAUGCAAGUCGAACGGGCUGUUCCUUCGGGGGCAGUCAGUGGCGCACGGGUGCGUAACACGUAGGUAAUCAACCCUCUGGUUGGGGAUAACACUUCGAAAGGAGUGCUAAUACCCGGUAUGGCGCAGCGGUCUUCGGAUCGCGGCGAGAAAGACCCGCAAGGGUUGCCAGAGGACGAGCCUGCGGCCCAUCAGCUAGUUGGCGAGGUAACGGCUCACCAAGGCGAAGACGGGUAGCUGGUCUGAGAGGAUGAUCAGCCACACUGGAACUGAGACACGGUCCAGACUCCUACGGGAGGCAGCAGUGGGGAAUAUUGCGCAAUGGGCGAAAGCCUGACGCAGCCACGCCGCGUGAGCGAUGAAGGCCUCGGUCGUAAGACUCUGUGGGAGGAGAAGAAUAAAGACCUGUGAAGAGCAGGCCUUGACGGUAGUCUCCUUAG
rnacentral:rRNA from 1 species